rnacentral:rRNA from 1 species
UACGGAGGGUGCAAACGUUGCUCGGAAUCAUUGGGCGUAAAGCGCACGUAGGCGGCUAGAUAAGUCGGGUGUGAAAGCCCUGGGCUCAACCCAGGAAGUGCAUUCGAAACUGUCUAGCUUGAAUCUCGGAGGGGGUCAGAGAAUUCCCGGUGUAGAGGUGAAAUUCGUAGAUAUCGGGAGGAAUACCAGUGGCGAAGGCGCUGACCUGGACGAAGAUUGACGCUGAGGUGCGAAAGCGCGGGGAGCCAACAGG